rnacentral:rRNA from 1 species
GCUUAUCACCAUUCCAGAUUGAAUAUACCCGAUCUCGUCUGUCUCGGAAGUCAAGCAAUAUAGGGCUUGGUUAGUAUUGGCAUGGGUGGACU